rnacentral:rRNA from 1 species
UGGGGAAUUUUGGACAAUGGACGCAAGUCUGAUCCAGCCAUGCCGCGUGCGGGGAGAAGGCCUUCGGGUUGUAAACCGCUUUUGUCAGGGAAGAAACGAGUUUCUCUAAUACAGAGACUUAAUGACGGUACCUGAAGAAUAAGCACCGGCUAACUACGUGCCAGCAGCCGCGGUAAUACGUAGGGUGCGAGCGUUAAUCGGAAUUACUGGGCGUAGAGCGUGCGCAGGCGGUUAUAUAAGACAGAUGUGAAAUCCCCGGGCUCAACCUGGGAACUGCAUUUGUGACUGUAUAGCUAGAGUACGGCAGAGGGGGAUGGAAUUCCGCGUGUAGCAGUGAAAUGCGUAGAUAUGCGGAGGAACACCGAUGGCGAAGGCAAUCCCCUGGGCCUGCACUGACGCUCAUGCACGAAAGCGUGGGGAGCAAACA